GAUGAACGCUGGCGGCGUGCCUAAUACAUGCAAGUCGAGCGAACAGACGAGGCUCUUGCUCCUCUGACGUUAGCGGCGGACGGGUGAGUCACACGAGUAUAACCUACCUAUAAGACUGGGAUAACUUCGGGAAACCGGCUAUAAUACCGGAUAAUAUAUUGAACCGUAUGGUUCAUUGGAUAAAUCCGGUUUUGCUGUCUGUUAUCGAUGGUUCCGGGCCGCAUUAGCUAGUUGGUAAGUUAAAGGGUUACCAAGGCAACGAGGCGUAGGCGACCUGAGAGGGUGAUCGGCCACACUGGAACUGAGACACGGUCCAGACUCCUACGGGAGGCAGCAGUCGGGAAUCUUCCGCAAUGGGCGAAAGCAUGACGCAGCAACGCCGCGUGAGUGAUGAAGGUCUUCGGAUCGUAAAACUCUGUUACUAGGGAAGAACCAAUGUGUAAGGAAAUAUGCACGUCUUGACGGUACCUAAUCAGAAAGCCACGGCUAACUACGUG
rnacentral:rRNA from 1 species